CCCUGAAUAUAAUAGGAGAUGCACAAAAGUUUGAUUAGACAAAAAACUGCUGUGGUAGCAGUCAUUUAAUAGUGGGCUAACAAUUGGUAUCAAGGGACUUCAACUUGUGGGAGAUCCGAGGGGAAGUUAGAGCUGUAAUGGCAGCAAGGGUGGUCAUAGUGGGGGUUUGGAGGAGAGGGGCAGUGUUGAAGCCUCAAUGAAAUUCUCUCAUCACCACUGAUGCUUCCUUCUCCCCUUCCAGGCUGGCACUGAAUGUGUCUUUAAGGAAACUCAGCAGAGAGUCACAAGUAGCAGAAUCACCAUCAUUAAACUAAUCCUGCCACACUUUCAGUUUAAAAGAAUUCCAGGUUAGGAAGCUUCUUUCCUUCCAUGGAUUGCCUCUGAAGUCAAGGAGUAGCUGAUCUUGGACUGAGUCACAGAAUUCCUCCAGCCAGGUUUUAUGGAAUGUGAACUUGCUUCUGUCUCUCAGGUUGGCUGGCUGUGGCCAUUGUACAGAAGCUACAUAUUUGAGUGAUCUCAGAAGGGCUCGAGGAGGGAAGAAAGUAUCCAGCCACCACCCACCUACAAGAUGCCUUUGUGGCUCAAGUGAAAUGCCAGUUCUUGGGUGGACUGCUGGGCUCUCCUUUCCUUAUUUCUCAUAUUAAACAAGCAGCAAAUUUCUUACCUCCCUGGGAUUGUUUUAAAGCUAAAAAAACACUCCCCAGUCUGGGACUUUAGCUCAUCUGAAAUUUGCAGAUUGACCAUGCGAGUAACUCUGUGGGCAAGAUCGCUGGCCUCUGCUGUUUAUUGUGCAAGUGAUAAACUGCCAGUCUUUGAGCACAAGACCAGAUGUAGACAGAAUGUGCCCCUGUCUGAGGGGAGGGCUGGUCCCCAGGGGAGGGGAUGGGUCAAGUUCAUAUCUGUGGUUUGUUUCCCUCUGAAAACCCCUACAGAAAAAAAAAAACAUAGGAAAGCAUUCUUUGGUGGUAUUUUCUUGGAAAGUGACUACUGCAUUUGCUAUUAUGAGGAACCACUAUGUGGACCCUGCUUGUCUUCUGCCGGGGAACUCCUGGCAGGCCAGUGUAGUCAGAGUUCCUACUCAAACAGGCAACAGAAGGCCAAGGUUUGAGGUGGACCAUCACAUAAUUUCAAAGUUGAAAGGGGUCUCUGAGGUCAUCUAGUCCAAGAAGAAUCCCCUUUAUGUUAUUUAUGACAAGUGGUCAUUUGGCCUUUGCUAAAACACCCCUGCUCAGAAAGUGGCAGCUGAUUCUACCUUUUGUCAUUAAAGGAAGAUUCUUUACAUUGAAUUGAAAUUUACCUUCAGCUUCCACAGAAACACAGAGAAGAGAAGACGGUAGGCUUAAAGUCACAUAAUAGGCUGGAUGAGAGUGGUGAUUGAAACUUGGGCAUUUCAUAGGCACGUGCCCAGCCCACGUCUCCAAUCUUGCCUCUGUAUGUGAGCAUAGAUAUAGCAUUCUAAAUAUGGCAUUUAUGGAAUAGACAAUAGACCUGUUCACUACCACUCUCUGCCUCCUUAGCUCCCUUUUCCAGUAUGUGAGGAUGCCCGCCAUCCUUGUUCUGCCCUCCCUAUUCUUUUCUCCCCACUUCUCAAAGGAAAUGUUGGGAGGUACUUUUUUCAAGUGAAAGGGGCAACCAGUCUGGCCAAGUUGAGAUGUUUACAGUCCCAUGGUGAGUUGUCAUUCCAGCUUUGCUUGCCCUCAUGGGCUCCUCUCCAGCUAAGACUCCAGUUUACGUAAAGAGCAAAAACUGAAAGCAAAGUGUGCUAUAAAUUUCACUGACACCAUGGACUAGGUUGGGAUUUCAAUAAUAUACUUGGCUCCAUUUUCCUUCAAAGCCUCUAUCUCUCCUUUCCCCACUCCUCUCUUGGCUGUGUUAUUUCCUUGCCUCAGUCUAUGAAGUUCACCAUCAAGGAGAUUUUGGAUACUGUUGGAUUAGAUGAAUAGAUCCACCUUGCAGUAUGGCAGAAUAACUUAUUACAUAUUUGAAGAGCCCACAGUCUCAUCUCUUCCUUUAAGCUGUUCUAUGAGAAUAUGAAUUUCUACUUUAUCCCCUGUGAU